rnacentral:rRNA from 1 species
AUUAUUCUCGCCUGUUUAUCAAAAACAUGUCCUCUUGCUUUUAAUAAGAGGUCGAGCCUGCCCAAUGUGUAUAUUAAUGGCCGCGGUAUUUUGACCGUGCGAAGGUAGCAUAAUGAGUAGUCUAUUAAUUGUGGUCUGGAAUGAAAGGUUUGACGGGGGUAAGCUUUCUUAAUUUUAUAGUUGAAUUUAAGUUAUCAGUAAAAACGCUGAUGUGAAUUAGUAGGACAAGAAGACCCUAUAGAGCUUUAUAUUUAACUUGGUUGUCGUGGCAUGGUUUUCAAGUUUAUAUUUUGUUGGGGCGACAUUAAAUACUAAACAUUUAAUUUGAAAUCUUUUUUAAAGGUAAAUUGAUCCAUUAAUAAUGAUUUGAGACUAAGUUACCUUAGGGAUAACAGCGUAAUUUUAUUGUAGAGUUCAUAUCGAUGAUGAAGUUUGCGACCUCGAUGUUGGAUUAAAAUACCUAUAAGGCGUAGCAGUUUUAUGGGGUAGUCUGUUCGACUAUUAAAAUUUUACAUGAUCUGAGUUCAAAUCGGCGUGAGCCAGGUUGGUUUCU